GCUAUUUAUUUAUCCAUGUAAAUAGGAGCCAAUCCUCCUUUAAACCUCAACAUUGCCUCAGGUUACUAGCAAGGAGAUAAAUAUUCUAAGGUACUAGGAGCCUGCUGUUCUGACCAGGUCUUUAUUACAAACAAUAUGAAGUCAUUAUGAUUUGCGUAAGUAUUUCAUAAUUCUAGUGUUCCUGCCUCUUAGAGUUUUAUAAGAAGGUCUUUCUCAGGGUUGUGUCAUGAUCCACAUAAACUCAGGGAAAGCUCAAAGAUGAUAUUCACACCUCAAUUCCUUGGACUUAUGUUUUUCUGGAUUUCAGCCUCCAGAGGUUACAUUGUAAUAACUCAGUCUCCAGCGACUCUGUAUGUAACUCCAGGAGAGAGAGUCAGUCUUUCCUGCAGGGCCAGCCAGAGUGUUGGCACAAACCUAAACUGGCAUCAGCAAAAAUCAAAUGAGUCUCCAAGGCUUCUCAUUAAGUAUGCUUCCCAGUCCAUCUCUGGGAUCCCGUCCAGGUUCAGUGGCAGUGGAUCAGGUACAGAUUUCACUCUCAGCAUCAAUAGUGUGGAGCCUGAAGAUGCUGGAAUUUAUUACUGUCAACAGAGUGACAACUGGCCACCCACGGUGAUACAGACCAUAGCAAAAACCACCAGGAAAGGAGAAGUGUGA